rnacentral:rRNA from 1 species
AGUUAACGUUGGCGGCGUGCCUAACACAUGCAAGUCGAACGCGUCCUAAGGGCAACUUUAGGAUGAGUGGCGAACGGGUGAGUAUCACGUGGGUAAUCUUCCUUCAAGUGGGGAAUAAGCUCUCGAAAGGGAGUCUAAUACCGCAUGACAUUCCGGGACACAAGUCCCGUAAUCAAAGCCGCAAGGCGCUUGAAGAUGAGCCUGCGUCCUAUUAGCUAGUUGGUGGGGUAACGGCCUACCAAGGCUUAGAUGGGUAGCCGGCCUGAGAGGGUGAACGGCCACACUGGGACUGAGACACGGCCCAGACUCCUACGGGAGGCAGCAGUGAGGAAUUUUGCGCAAUGGGGGAAACCCUGACGCAGCGACGCCGCGUGGAGGAUGAAGGCCUUCGGGUCGUAAACUCCUGUCAGAGGUGAAGAAUACCCGCAAGGGUUUGACGGUAACCUCAGAGGAAGCCCCGGCUAACUACGUG